AAAUUCAUUAAAUAAUAAUUUUAUUUAAAUUAUUUAUAAAUUAAGGUCCUUUCGUACAAUUAAUUUAAUUUUUAUUAUAGAUAGAAUCCAAUCUGACUUACGUCGAUUUGAACUCAAAUCAUGUAAGAUUUUAAGAGUCGAACAGACUCAAAAAUUUAAACUUAUCUAACUAUCAUUAUAUAUUAAUUUCUUACUUAAUAUAUCGGAU